UAUGCACCUCGCUAGGUGAGGCGUCUACACGGACACAGGCCACUGACCCCGAACGUCGAAAGACGCCCCGGGUCAGGACAGCUCCUCCCGGCUUAAGGGUUGAGCCCAAGUGGCUUCCGGGACUCCCGGAUCACGCCGUGUAGUGCCAAAGCUCUGACGAGAGGGGUGCGGC
rnacentral:sRNA from 2 species